AACCCAUGUUGUGGACACUUCUGUAAGAGUCCUUAAAUUACUCCCAAGUCUCAAACAAGGAUUCAAGUUCCUUCUGAACAAAUGAAGAUAUCUCAUUGCGAAGCUU